rnacentral:rRNA from 1 species
AGAGUUUGAUCAUGGCUCAGAUUGAACGCUGGCGGCAGGCCUAACACAUGCAAGUCGAGCGGUAACAUUUCUAGCUUGCUAGAAGAUGACGAGCGGCGGACGGGUGAGUAACGCGUGGGAAUCUGCCUGGUAGUGGGGGACAACAGUCGGAAACGACUGCUAAUACCGCAUACGCCCUUCGGGGGAAAGUGGGGGAUCUUCGGACCUCACGCUAUCAGAUGAGCCCGCGUCGGAUUAGCUUGUUGGUGAGGUAAAGGCUCACCAAGGCGAUGAUCCGUAGCUGGUCUGAGAGGAUGAUCAGCCACACUGGGACUGAGACACGGCCCAGACUCCUACGGGAGGCAGCAGUGGGGAAUAUUGGACAAUGGGGGCAACCCUGAUCCAGCCAUGCCGCGUGUGUGAAGAAGGCCUUCGGGUUGUAAAGCACUUUCAGCAGUGAGGAAAGGUGUGUCGUUAAUACCGGCAUGCUGUGACGUUAACUGCAGAAGAAGGACCGGCUAACUCCGUGCCAGCAGCCGCGGUAAUACGGAGGGUCCGAGCGUUAAUCGGAAUUACUGGGCGUAAAGCGCGCGUAGGUGGUUCAGUCAGUCAGAUGUGAAAGCCCCGGGCUCAACCUGGGAAUUGCACCUGAUACUGCUGAGCUAGAGUACGGUAGAGGGUAGUGGAAUUUCCGGUGUAGCGGUGAAAUGCGUAGAGAUCGGAAGGAACACCAGUGGCGAARGCGACUACCUGGACCGAUACUGACACUGAGGUGCGAAAGCGUGGGUAGCAAACAGGAUUAGAUACCCUGGUAGUCCACGCCGUAAACGAUGUCAACUAGCCGUUGGGGGACUUGAUCCUUUAGUGGCGCAGCUAACGCGAUAAGUUGACCGCCUGGGGAGUACGGCCGCAAGGUUAAAACUCAAAUGAAUUGACGGGGGCCCGCACAAGCGGUGGAGCAUGUGGUUUAAUUCGAAGCAACGCGAAGAACCUUACCUACUCUUGACAUCCAGAGAACUUUCCAGAGAUGGAUUGGUGCCUUCGGGAACUCUGAGACAGGUGCUGCAUGGCUGUCGUCAGCUCGUGUUGUGAAAUGUUGGGUUAAGUCCCGUAACGAGCGCAACCCCUAUCCUUAUUUGCCAGCACUUCGGGUGGGAACUCU